UACGGAGGGUGCGAGCGUUGUCCGGAAUUACUGGGCGUAAAGAGCUCGUAGGUGGUUUGUCGCGUUGUUCGUGAAAUCUCACGGCUUAACUGUGAGCGUGCGGGCGAUACGGGCAGACUGGAGUACUGCAGGGGAGACUGGAAUUCCUGGUGUAGCGGUGGAAUGCGCAGAUAUCAGGAGGAACACCGGUGGCGAAGGCGGGUCUCUGGGCAGUAACUGACGCUGAGGAGCGAAAGCAUGGGGAGCGAACAGG
rnacentral:rRNA from 1 species